rnacentral:rRNA from 1 species
CCUACGGGAGGCAGCAGUGGGGAAUAUUGCACAAUGGGGGAAACCCUGAUGCAGCGACGCCGCGUGAGUGAAGAAGUAUUUCGGUAUGUAAAGCUCUAUCAGCAGGGAAGACAAUGACGGUACCUGAUUCAGAAGCCCCGGCUAACUACGGGCCAGCAGCCGCGGUAAUACGUAGGGGGCAAGCGUUAUCCGGAUUUACUGGGUGUAAAGGGAGCGUAGACGGCAGCACAAGUCUGGAGUGAAAUGCCGGGGCUUAACCCCGGAACUGCUUUGGAAACUGUGCAGCUAGAGUGCAGGAGAGGUAAGUGGAAGUCCUAGUGUAGCGGUGAAAUGCGUAGAUAUUAGGAGGAACACCAGUGGCGAAGGCGGCUUACUGGACUGUAACUGACGUUGAGGCUCGAAAGCGUGGGGAGCAAACAGGAUUAGAUACCCGGGUAGUC